rnacentral:rRNA from 1 species
AGUGAACGCUGGCGGUAGGCCUAACACAUGCAAGUCGAACGGCAGCACAGUAAGAGCUUGCUCUUACGGGUGGCGAGUGGCGGACGGGUGAGGAAUACAUCGGAAUCUACUUUUUCGUGGGGGAUAACGUAGGGAAACUUACGCUAAUACCGCAUACGACCUACGGGUGAAAGCAGGGGAUCUUCGGACCUUGCGCGAUCGAAUGAGCCGGUGUCGGAUUAGCUAGUUGGUGGGGUAAAGGCCCACCAAGGCGACGAUGCGUAGCUGGUCUGAGAGGAUGAGCGGCGCCACGGGAGCGGAGACACGGUCAAGACUCCGAAGGGAGGCAGAAGAAGGGGGACUAGCGGACAAGGGGAGAGCGUGAGGUAGAAACACAGCGUGAGUGAGAAAAGUCUUCGGAUCGUAAAACGCUGUUAUUAGGGAAAAAAAAAUGUGUAAGUAACUAUGCACGUCUUGACGGUACCUACUCAGAAAGACACGGCUAAAUACGUG